rfam:Lupinus angustifolius cultivar Tanjil contig_8390, whole genome shotgun sequence.
GCCACUAUGGUGAAAUUGGUAGACACACUAUUCUUAAGAAGCAGUGCUACAACGUCUUGGUUCGAGUCCAAGUGGUGGCA